GAUUGAACGCUGGCGGCAGGCCUAACACAUGCAAGUCGAACGGUAACAGGAAGAAGCUUGCUUCUUUGCUGACGAGUGGCGGACGGGUGAGUAAUGUCUGGGAAACUGCCUGAUGGAGGGGGAUAACUACUGGAAACGGUAGCUAAUACCGCAUAACGUCGCAAGACCAAAGAGGGGGACCUUAGGGCCUCUUGCCAUCGGAUGUGCCCAGAUGGGAUUAGCUAGUAGGUGGGGUAAAGGCUCACCUAGGCGACGAUCCCUAGCUGGUCUGAGAGGAUGACCAGCCACACUGGAACUGAGACACGGUCCAGACUCCUACGGGAGGCAGCAGUGGGGAAUAUUGCACAAUGGGCGCAAGCCUGAUGCAGCCAUGCCGCGUGUAUGAAGAAGGCCUUCGGGUUGUAAAGUACUUUCAGCGGGGAGGAAGGUGUUGUGGUUAAUAACCACAGCAAUUGACGUUACCCGCAGAAGAAGCACCGGCUAACUCCGUGCCAGCAGCCGCGGUAAUACGGAGGGUGCAAGCGUUAAUCGGAAUUACUGGGCGUAAAGCGCACGCAGGCGGUCUGUCAAGUCGGAUGUGAAAUCCCCGGGCUCAACCUGGGAACUGCAUUCGAAACUGGCAGGCUUGAGUCUCGUAGAGGGGGGUAGAAUUCCAGGUGUAGCGGUGAAAUGCGUAGAGAUCUGGAGGAAUACCGGUGGCCGAAGGCGGCCCCCUGGACGAAGACUGACGCUCCAGGUUGCGAAAGCGGUGGGGGAGCAAACAGGAUUAGAUACCUGGUAGUCCACGCCGUAAACGAUGUCUAUUUGGAGGUUGUGCCCUUGAGGUGUGGCUUCCGGGAGCUAACGCGUUAAAUAGACCGCGUGGGGAGUACGGCCGCAAGGUUAAAACUCAAAUGAAUUGACGGGGGCCCGCACAAGCGGUGGAGCAUGUGGUUUAAUUCGAUGCAACGCGAAGAACCUUACCUGGUCUUGACAUCCACAGAACUUUCCAGAGAUGGAGGGGUGCCUUCGGGAACUGUGAGACAGGUGCUGCAUGGCUGUCGUCAGCUCGUGUUGUGAAAUGUUGGGUUAAGUCCCGCAACGAGCGCAACCCUUAUCCUUUGUUGCCAGCGGUUAGGCCGGGAACUCAAAGGAGACUGCCAGUGAUAAACUGGAGGAAGGUGGGGAUGACGUCAAGUCAUCAUGGCCCUUACGACCAGGGCUACACACGUGCUACAAUGGCGCAUACAAAGAGAAGCGAACUCGCGAGAGCAAGCGGACCUCAUAAAGUGCGUCGUAGUCCGGACUGGAGUCUGCAACUCGACUCCAUGAAGUCGGAAUCGCUAGUAAUCGUGGAUCAGAAUGCCACGGUGAAUACGUUCCCGGGCCUUGCACACACCGC
rnacentral:rRNA from 2 species